GGGGGGAAUAGCGAUGCUUACCAUGCAGUCGAACGGUAACAGGUCUUCGGAUGCUGACGAGUGGCGAACGGGUGAGUCUAUACUCGGAACGUGCCCGAGAGUGGGGGAUAACGAAGCGGACGCUUUGCUAAUACCGCAUACGAUCUCAGGAUGAAAGCAGGGGACCGCAAGGCCUUGCGCUCACGGAGCGGCCGAUGGCAUAUUAGGUAGUUGGUGGGAUAAAAGCUUACCAAGCCGACGAUCUGUAGCUGGUCUGAGAGGACGACCAGCCACACUGGGACUGAGACACGGCCCAGACUCCUACGGGAGGCAGCAGUGGGGAAUUUUGGACAAUGGGCGCAAGCCUGAUCCAGCCAUGCCGCGUGCAGGAUGAAGGCCUUCGGGUUGUAAACUGCUUUUGUACGGAACGAAAAGACUCUGGUUAAUACCUGGGGUCCAUGACGGUACCGUAAGAAUAAGCACCGGCUAACUACGUGCCAGCAGCCGCGGUAAUACGUAGGGUGCGAGCGUUAAUCGGAAUUACUGGGCGUAAAGCGUGCGCAGGCGGUUAUGUAAGACAGAUGUGAAAUCCCCGGGCUCAACCUGGGAACUGCAUUUGUGACUGCAUAGCUAGAGUACGGCAGAGGGGGAUGGAAUUCCGCGUGUAGCAGUGAAAUGCGUAGAUAUGCGGAGGAACACCGAUGGCGAAGGCAAUCCCCUGGGCCUGUACUGACGCUCAUGCACGAAAGCGUGUGGAGCAAACAGGAUUAGAUACCCUGGUAGUCCACGCCCUAAACGAUGUUCACUGUUUGUUGGGUCUUCACUGACUCAUUAACGAAACUAACGCGUGGAAUUGAACCCCCGGGGAGGACGGCCGCCAGGGUGAAACUCAAAGGAAUUGACG
rnacentral:rRNA from 1 species